GUCGAACGGUAGAGGGGGCAACCCCUCGAGAGUGGCGAACGGGUGAGUAAUAUAUCGGAACGUGCCCAGUCGUGGGGGAUAACGUAGCGAAAGUUACGCUAAUACCGCAUACGAUCUAAGGAUGAAAGCGGGGGACUCGCAAGAGCCUCGCGCGAUUGGAGCGGCCGAUAUCAGAUUAGGUAGUUGGUGGGGUAAAGGCUCACCAAGCCAACGAUCUGUAGCUGGUCUGAGAGGACGACCAGCCACACUGGAACUGAGACACGGUCCAGACUCCUACGGGAGGCAGCAGUGGGGAAUUUUGGACAAUGGACGCAAGUCUGAUCCAGCCAUUCCGCGUGCAGGAUGAAGGCCCUCGGGUUGUAAACUGCUUUUGUACGGAACGAAAAGGUUUCUAUUAAUACUAGGAGCUCAUGACGGUACCGUAAGAAUAAGCACCGGCUAACUACGUGCCAGCAGCCGCGGUAAUACGUAGGGUGCAAGCGUUAAUCGGAAUUACUGGGCGUAAAGCGUGCGCAGGCGGUUAUGUAAGACAGAGGUGAAAUCCCCGGGCUCAACCUGGGAACUGCCUUUGUGACUGCAUAGCUAGAGUACGGUAGAGGGGGAUGGAAUUCCGCGUGUAGCAGUGAAAUGCGUAGAUAUGCGGAGGAACACCGAUGGCGAAGGCAAUCCCCUGGACCUGUACUGACGCUCAUGCACGAAAGCGUGGGGAGCAAACAGGAUUAGAUACCCUGGUAGUCCACGCCCUAAACG
rnacentral:rRNA from 1 species